rnacentral:rRNA from 1 species
AUUGAACGCUGGCGGCAGGCCUAACACAUGCAAGUCGAACGGUAACAGGAAGAAGCUUGCUUCUUUGCUGACGAGUGGCGGACGGGUGAGUAAUGUCUGGGAAACUGCCUGAUGGAGGGGGAUAACUACUGGAAACGGUAGCUAAUACCGCAUAACGUCGCAAGACCAAAAAGGGGGACCCUCGGGCCUCUUGCCAUCGGAUGUGCCCAGAUGGGAUUAGCUAGUAGGUGGGGUAACGGCUCACCUAGGCGACGAUCCCUAGCUGGUCUGAGAGGAUGACCAGCCACACUGGAACUGAGACACGGUCCAGACUCCUACGGGAGGCAGCAGUGGGGAAUAUUGCACAAUGGGCGCAAGCCUGAUGCAGCCAUGCCGCGUGUAUGAAGAAGGCCUUCGGGUUGUAAAGUACUUUCAGCGGGGAGGAAGGGAGUAAAGUUAAUACCUUUGCUCAUUGACGUUACCCGCAGAAGAAGCACCGGCUAACUCCGUG